GCUUUGUGAGGAGGAACAUCUUUCUACCCCUGAUUAAGCUAAUCUAACCUAAAGCGAAUGAUUAGAGGCCCUAGUGUCGAAACAAUCUUAACCUAUUCCCAAACUAUAAAUGGGUAAGAACAUCCUUUUUUUAUAUGUAGGUUGAGUUGUGUUAUAUUGAGACCAGUGGUCCAAUUUGGAUAAGCAGAACUGGCGCUGUUGGUUAAACCA
rnacentral:rRNA from 1 species